AGUUUUUAAGUUAAUAACCAUCCUUUAAAAUACACUAUUGGACCCCACAAAAAAAAAUACAUCCUUGGAAGUGGUCUUAGUUUUAUCAUCUAAAAGAUAUGAAUUUGAUUUUGUAAAGGUUACAAUUAUUUUCCGAGAAAUGUUAUCAUAGACAAGUUGGAGGAAGAAGACGAAACGAAUCAGGUAAAUUGAAAUUAAGACAGCUAUUAAGGUAAAAUUAAAAAAUGGGUAGAUUAGAAGUAGUUGUCUUUUCAUAAAACCCAAUAGUACUUGAAAUUGUUAGUAUAAGAAAUAUUCCAAGCUAUAACAUUAUUAUUA
rnacentral:sRNA from 1 species